GAUGAACGCUGGCGGCGUGCCUAAUACAUGCAAGUCGAGCGAACGGACGAGAAGCUUGCUUUUCUGAUGUUAGCGGCGGACGGGUGAGUAACACGUGGAUAACCUACCUAUAAGACUGGGAUAACUUCGGGAAACCGGAGCUAAUACCGGAUAAUAUUUUAAACCGCAUGGUUCAUAAGUGAAAGACGGUCUUGCUGUCACUUAUAGAUGGAUCCGCGCUGCAUUAGCUAGUUGGUAAGGUAACGGCUUACCAAGGCAACGAUGCAUAGCCGACCUGAGAGGGUGAUCGGCCACACUGGAACUGAGACACGGUCCAGACUCCUACGGGAGGCAGCAGUAGGGAAUCUUCCGCAAUGGGCGAAAGCCUGACGGAGCAACGCCGCGUGAGCGAUGAAGGUCUUCGGAUCGUAAAACUCUGUUAUUAGGGAAGAACAUAUGUGUAAGUAACUGUGCACAUCUUGACGGUACCUAAUCAGAAAGCCACGGCUAACUACGUG
rnacentral:rRNA from 1 species